CCCAGAGAGAAGCAUGCAGUAGUGUAAAUUUAUACCUAGAUGUAAAUAUUGGAUUUUUUCCUACUAGUAGAGUUGGCAAAGAGAAAGGGAAAAAAGACCAGGAGGCUUGGAACACCUAAUUUGGAAGAAGGACGUGGAAUGAAGUCUGCAGCCCACCAUUACGGCCCAUGUUCUGAAACAACCUCCCACUGAGCUCUGUGAUCUCCAGCCACACACAGUUGCUUGCUGGUCACUCCAUCUAGGGCCUGUGUUCCCAUGGAUGAAACACCUUCAAGGAUUGUCCCCUGAGGGUAUUGUAAAAGCAUUUUCAAGCUUCAAAUUAGACUGGUCGCUACAGGUGGCUUCAGUACCAUGUCCUUGGUGACUUAUACACAGUGUCCGGCAGACAGUAAGUACUCAAGAAGAAGAUGCUGAAUGAGUUAUAGUAGUUGGAGAAGGAGUUUUAUCUCAAUUGAGAGUUGAUUGUUAGCAAUGCUUCUAUUAGGAAGGAAAAGUCAAA
rnacentral:lncRNA from 1 species